rnacentral:rRNA from 1 species
CGAAGGGUGCAAGCGUUACUCGGAAUUACUGGGCGUAAAGCGUGCGUAGGUGGUUCGUUAAGUCUGAUGUGAAAGCCCUGGGCUCAACCUGGGAAUGGCAUUGGAAACUGGCGACCUAGAGUGCGGUAGAGGGUAGUGGAAUUCCCGGUGUAGCAGUGAAAUGCGUAGAGAUCGGGAGGAACAUCUGUGGCGAAGGCGACUGCCUGGACCAGCACUGACACUGAGGCACGAAAGCGUGGGGAGCAAACAGGAUUAGAUACCCUGGUAGUCCACGCCCUAAACGAUGCGAACUGGAUGUUGGGUGCAACUAGGCACUCAGUAUCGAAGCUAACGCGUUAAGUUCGCCGCCUGGGGAGUACGGUCGCAAGACUG